CUCUGUCUACUGUACCACCUUUCUGCCUCAUCACUUACUUUAUUUUUUGUAAUUGCUCCUGCCUCUUGCUUGUUUUCAAAUUCACACUUUCCCUCUACCUAUGAGAAACAUUGACUUUUUUCUACUUUAAUGGCAUAAUCUUUAAUAUAAGACCUUACAUCUAUUUUUUAUUUGACUGUGGACUCUAUUAUAGGCUGUUGUUUUCAGCCUCUGUUUUCUGUCUCAAGUACUAAGCUUUUGGAUUAGACUAUUUCUGAUCCUUUCUUUCCUAUUCUAUGCCAUUGGUCACUUUUUCAUUUUAAUCAUUACAAAUUGUUUUGAUGAUUAUUUUUACAAUAAAGUUUGACCUUUGGAAGUGUUCUCCAACCUUUGUCAGAACAAUAAUAAUGAUCAGGGCCAGACCACUUAGUUUUUAGAUAUAGGGAACACAUUUCAGCAAUGCAUAAUGACAUUUGCUUUUCAACUUGCUAGGGCCAUUGAGAGGUUAAUUGGCUUGUUCAUGGUCUUAGGGUCUACAUGUAUCAGGGACAGGAUUGAACCUAGUUCUUUCUGAAUGGGAAGCUCACUCUGUAUACACUAUGGCAUGCUGCUUCUUGGCUACUAUAAUACUUAAUUCAUUUAUUAUAGCCUCUGAGAUUAGUUAACUGCCUGUUGUUCACAUUAAUCUUUCUCUCUUUUUCUCUCUCUUUCUCUCUUUGUCUCUCUUUCUCUCUUUCUUUCUUUCUUUCUUUCUUUCUUUCUUUCUUUCUUUCUUCUCUUUCUUUCUUUCUUUCUUCCUUCCUUUCUUUCUUUUUCUUUUUCUUUCUUUCUUUUUCUCUCUCCAUCCCUCUCUUCCCCCCUUUCUCUCUCUCUCUGUCUGUCUGUCUCUCUGUCUCUCUCUUUCCCUCUCCCUCUCUCUUUUCACUCUCUACAUUCACAUAUAUGUAUAUGUAUAAAUAUAUAUGUAUAUAUAUAUAUACACUUAUGUGCACUUGGCCAGGCAGGGUCUGAAAAUGGCAUAUUAGAAUGUUACUGAUUGUAAAGUAAGGGAAAAUAUUCCAGCAAUGAAUUACCUUCACUAUCUCCAAAAAAGUAGGCUGCUCUGCCAUCUGCUGGUGGAAGUGAUGCCAUCUCAUGAGAGACAGUCCAAUGUCCCUUAUUCCUAUUUGCUCAUACCUUCGGUCUCAGCCAAGCAAGUUUUCUGAAUAUUUCUUGUUCCCAUAUAGGAUCAGUACCAGGACUAGAAAGAUAAAACUGGUUUUAUAAGAAAUGUGAAAUGAUUAGCGGCACUUCAUUUGCUUUACGACAUUGUUCUCCCAUUACUCUAAAAACACGAGGCUCAUCUAUUUAUUAUGAAAUGCUGAGGCUGAAUUCUGCCUAUGCAAAUAGUUUGCACGUUGUAAUCUAGCUCUCCAUAUAUGCUGAUGCAAAACCUACACCGGAAUCAUGUUCAAUAAGCAUUCUCUUUCCUCCCCCUUCCCCAGAAUGUCAGACUGCUCCAAUAAAGUGGCUUCCAUGGUUACA
rnacentral:lncRNA from 1 species